AGGUAACUGAGGAAUGAGGUAGCAGUCAAAGAAGUUACAAAUCUACACCCAAUCUGGCAGAGCUCUUACCCCCCAACAAAGGCAAGGAUUCAGCACAGGAGAGCUGUUUACAGAACACCAGCUGGCCUGAUGCGACUUCUCCCAGCGCCAUCUGCCUCCACAGAGGUUCUCACCUGGGCUCAGGCGGCUUCCUACAGGAGCCCCAGGCAAGGGGCAGUCGUGAUCCCCGCCGCCAACCGCCACCUCCCCAGACGGCCUCCUUGGGGAGCAACCAGUUGUCCAGAUAUUUCCUGAGCACCCACUGUGUGCUAAGCAUUGUCCUGGCUCUGGAAAUCCAGCAGUCAACAAAGGAGGGAGGAUGCCCCUCUCCUCUUCCCAUCGUGGAGCCUGCAUUCUAGCUCAACACCCACACAGGUCCUACCACAGCGUAUGCAUCUGGUAGGUGCUAGACUAUCUGAUGAGCAAGUCAACAGCAAACCCUCCUGUUUCUCCUUGUCUUUAAAACGGAUUUGGUGCUCAUCAAUCUGAGAAUCUUUGUACAGAUAAUGCUGAAAGAAAAAAAUUCACAACUACUUUUUAAAA